rnacentral:rRNA from 1 species
UACGUAGGGGGCGAGCGUUAUCCGGAUUUACUGGGUGUAAAGGGAGCGUAGACGGCUUGGCAAGUCUGAAGUGAAAGCCCGUGGCUCAACCGCGGAACGGCUUUGGAAACUGUGAAGCUGGAGUGCUGGAGAGGUAAGCGGAAUUCCUAGUGUAGCGGUGAAAUGCGUAGAUAUUAGGAGGAACACCAGUGGCGAAGGCGGCUUACUGGACAGUAACUGACGUUGAGGCUCGAAAGCGUGGGGAGCAAACA